rnacentral:rRNA from 1 species
AGAGUUUGAUCAUGGCUCAGAACGAACGUUGGCGGCGUGGAUUAGGCAUGCAAGUCGAACGAAUCCCAGAGGGCUUGCUUUCUGGGGGAAGUGGCGAAAGGGGCAGUAACGCGUGGAUAACCUACCCCGGGGACGGGGAUAGCCUCUCUAACGUGAGGGUAAUACCUGGCGAUUUGACGGGGCGGCAUCGUCCUGUCAGGAAAUGAAUUUCGCCUCGGGAGGGGUUCACGUAGUAUUAGCUUGUUGGUGAGGUAACGGCUCACCAAGGCCAAGAUGCUUAGCGGGUGUGAGAGCACGACCCGCGCCACUGGCACUGAGACACUGGCCAGACUCCUACGGGAGGCUGCAGUCGAGGAUCUUCGGCAAUGGGCGCAAGCCUGACCGAGCGACGCCGCGUGUGCGAUGAAGGCCUUCGGGUUGUAAAGCACUGUCGAGGGAAAGAAAGCCGCAAGGUUGAUCGAUCCCUGGAGGAAGCACGGGCUAAGUUCGUGCCAGCAGCCGCGGUAAGACGAACCGUGCGAACGUUGUUCGGAUUCACUGGGCUUAAAGGGCGCGUAGGCGGGUGAUCAAGUCCGGGGUGAAAUACUCCAGCUUAACUGGAGAAUAGCCCUGGAUACUGGUCGUCUUGAGGAAGGUAGGGGCAUGUGGAACUUCCGGUGGAGCGGUGAAAUGCGUAGAUAUCGGAAGGAACGCCGGUGGCGAAAGCGACGUGCUGGACCUUUUCUGACGCUGAGGCGCGAAAGCCAGGGGAGCAAACGGGAUUAGAUACCCCGGUAGUCCUGGCCCUAAACGAUGGGUACUAGAUUGUAGACUUAACAUGGGUUUACAGUCGAAGCAAAAGUGUUAAGUACCCCGCCUGGGGAGUAUGGUCGCAAGGCUGAAACUCAAAGGAAUUGACGGGGGCUCACACAAGCGGUGGAG